CUGGCGGCUGUGUCUUCACAG
rnacentral:miRNA from 1 species